CGCAACCGCCGCACUCCACUUGCCGCCCCCCUCACCUCUCCGCUGCCUGCCCCGCCUUCCCCACGUGAACCGGUUCUACGCGUCGCCCCUCAUCCUCGGCAGCGAGAGGCACGGGGGAGCUGCCGCCGGUCAAGAUGGGCGGCGGGGCGCCGGGGCGCCGCGCUCUACCUCGGCACCAACGCCCUCUGCGACGUUGAGGGCGACCACCGGGCCAUCAUCUUCGACCGCCUCGACGCUGGGGGUCGAGGACAAGAUAACCAAUCGCCGCUCAAUCUCGCUCCUCGGAGGCGAGCGGCGCCGUCACCGCCCCGAUUUGUCCGGUUCCGGCCUUGAUUUAUGGUCGCCCUUGGCGUUGCUCUGUGCAGGUCUAGGUAUCCCGAGGGGACUCGCUCAUCAUCCCGUGGAUUCGAGAGGCCGGUCAUCCAGGACGUCCGCGCACGACCCAAUUUCGUGGAGAGCACCUCCGGAAGAAGGGGUCUCCAGAUGGUAGGAUGGGCUCUGCUACAUGUAAAUGGUUCUGGCAUUUCCCAUCAGUCUCCUCCCUGCCGUCAUCGUCCUUCCUGCUGCCAGCUCCGCCCUUCUCCGCCUUGUCUCCACGGCAACGAUUCUGCUCCAUCCAUCGAGGUGGAGGCUGGCCUGUAGCUCGUGUGCAUGGAGGAGAAGCACACUUCACUGAGAAGUUGUUGCCACUAUCCUCGGUGCCACCGCCAGUGACGAAACUUGGUGGUGAGCCUCAUCUCGCCCCCUCUCAGUUCUUCUGUUUUGCUCUGGAUGAUCUCUGUUCAUGUUGUUAGUGUUUAAAGUAUCUCUUGUUGUUCUAGGCUUCUAGCUGAUAAUCUUGUUGGUCGCUAUCAGUGUGGUGCACAUACACCUAGGCUUUAAGUUGUUGUGAUUUUUCUAUAAGAUGUUGAGAGCAUGGAACUGAAAUUGACAUCAGAAAUAGACUUGUUAAGUGUUUGUGUUGCCACCAAUCAAAAGCUGGUAUGUAAUCUACAAACCAACAUAGUCGACCAGUGUGAUUUGAUAAAUAUGUACACUUGUACAGAAAGGAGUAUGAACAUGCAGUUAAACUUACGAUCAUCAAUUUUCCACUUUUUAAUAACUUGUGUUCUGAAGCAUUUUGUUUUCUCCAAUUACAUGAUUUAAUAAAAUAACAUAUGGCCAGUUCAUUACAAGUGUUGUUUAUUGUAGCGUAUUUCGGUCAUAUCUUCUAACAUACUUCAGGGUUGCAUUAGUGGAAAACAUGCUGGAAAGAGAGUGUUCAUCCCUAUGAUCCCUUUGGCGCCCUUGGAGGACAUUUCGCUUCCUUUCAAGUUGAUGAAGAGGAAACAGUUCCCUGUUUGUCAGAGUUAUGCAAAGACCAUUAACAUAGCCCAGGGGCAAACCAUCCCAACUGUCGGUAUUUACCUUCCGGAGCAUGUACUCUCGCAUGCCCAGGUUUAUCUUGCACUGUCAAGAGGUGUGUCAUUGCAGACAACUCGGAUUCUGGUAAAGCCAAAUAAAAUAUAGAUUCCACUGGUAAAAGCACCAAGAACAUUGUGUACGGAGAUAUCUUGUAGGGAUAACAUAGUUUUGUUAUCUAAACUUUGGAUUUUUGAUAUGGCUCCUAUAUGUACAAUAUUUUUUGGACUAACAUUAUAUAUGUUUAUAAUUGCAGCUUUUUGUCUGGUCGCACCUAUAGGCAGUAUAGAGGAUCUACUCUCAGUAAGCUCUACAGCCGAUCAUUUUUUCCGCUUCCACUACUUCUUUUACCUUACUUUACACGGUGUAAUCUGUUUCAAUGCUAUGAUGCACUAUACGUAUGUUCUGCAUCAUUUUCCUUGUUGUAUCUACUGAGACCUAUUGUUGGAGCAUUCAUUUUAUUGGGAUUCUAUAUCUAAGAUGAAAACGUAAUAAGGUGAGGUUUAGAAUUUAAUUAAGCUGAUCAAAGUGUGCUUACUGGUCAGAAUGUGCUUAUUACUGGUUUCCUAUGCUAUUUUUACGACUAUAAAAGUAAUUAUGUCCUAUGAGUCUUGGAAGGUGUGAAUUCGAAAUCAACUAUAUUUCUUGCUAUUCUGGUUUAGAUGCUUUUGAGGCCUCUGAUUCUACACUAUUCAGCCUCCUUGAUGAAUAACAGUCGACUCAGAUAAUGUUUGAGUAUGUUUCUCCUAAAGCUAACUGACCAACAUCUGAACGACUUCGACUGCUGCAUACAAGUCCAGCUAAGCACGGUGCAAGUAUAACUCUGUCAGCGGAAAUGAGAUGUAUAUAAGACGUCCUUAUUCACUUCAUUUUCUAUAUAUUCACGGAGGGGGUGUCUCGGUUUGGUUUGCUGCAGGCUUUCAUCGAUUUACUAUGUUGAUUCAUGUGUUCCUUUUAGUCAAAGGAUAAGAUUUGCGACCAGCUUCAUGUUCUCAGAUAAUACUGGUGCAUAAUGCAUUCAGGUUGCAUUUAUCAGACUGCACCUUGUUAUCAGAUUGCCUGUACAAAGACUGAAUUUUGUUGGCUGGUACUUGCGGUGAGAAGCAGCAUGCACAUGUUGUGCAUUAGUUUGGUGGAUUUCCAUAGCUUAGCAUAUGUAUGAGAAAUAUAUUAUAUACAUUUUGUAUUGGUGGUGACUCUUUUCUUUGAAAGGUCAAAUCAUUUUAUUAU